GGCAGCGAUUACUCACCCCGUACUGGAGGAAUUAUUCUUCAACGAGUCGGACGGGAAGGAUUUACUCCAGACACCCGGCAAAGCCCUCAUCCCCGUCAGUGGCCGGAGGAAAAGUCGGCGGUAUCGUGGACAACAGUCCGGGUGCCUUGUCAGUGGGGUUUGUAAACCAACCCGGAUGUAAUAUAAUUCUGGCCACAUGUUGACACAGUGGCGCUUUUCCAUGUAGAGGGACGUACACUCUGUAAACAGGAAUGACAAGCUAAAGUUAUCUAGUUAGACACAGAAAUGUACGUUCAGCCUGUUCAUUAUUUCAGUCCGAGUUGACUUAUCUUACGAAGUCAGCAUGGUUUAACAUAGUUCCUUUCGUUGUUGACCUCGACAUUGUUGCUGGAUGGAUACUUUCAUAGCUAACAUGCUGGCGCUGCUAGCUAGCUAAUGCUAACGGCGCUAGCUAACCUCAUAUCUGGAUGCCUUGCUCUAGUUCCCGAGAGAGCAGCAUACUGAUCUGCCUGACAGCCUCACCCAGAAGACACUGGGCCUAUCCAGACUGACCAAGCAGAGAUGGGUGGCUGACAGCCUCACCCAGAAGACACUGGGCCUAUCCAGACUGACCAAGCAGAGAUGGGUGGCUGACAGCCUCACCCAGAAGACACUGGGCCUAUCCAGACUGACCAAGCAGAGAUGGGUGGCUGACAGGGAUAUAAAACACAACACACAUUAUCCACAAUGUAAAUACGUUGUAAUUACUUGUUUAUUUAAUGUUUGCUGCAUUUUAUUUGAGGAUUGGAGAUAUCUACUCCUUCAUAUCCAUUCUCAAUAUCUACAUAAUUACUCUCCAUAUCUAUCAAAGGGUGAUUGAUAAUAUUGUAAAAGACGACGGCUUAAUGUUUACAGUUUGAGGAAAUUAUGCGUGCUUUUUAUCUAAGUUGACAACGUGUUGGUUCCACUUUUCUAGGCUGCGUUAUUUACUUAACAAAUAAGAAACACUUAAAAUGUGAAUGUAUAAAAUUAAGAUAUUAUAAUUAGAAGACAGCCGUAGACAGAAGUCAAAGAUCAACAUACAACUGAUGUCUCUCCUGAGUUCUGAACAAAAGAAAGACAGCAUCUUAUAUAGAUCACCCCUCAUGGUGUCAAACCCUGCAUGUGCAGCUAAAAUAACAAGUUAUUCUCAACACAAGGUUUCUGAGAAUCUGUCUCAGCAGUAUGUAAAUCUGCCCUUGUUUCAGAGAAAAACAGACGCUGUCUCUCUGUGUCUCUCUGUCACCCUCAGUCCCUUUUCUCACCUCUUCUCACAGACGCUGUCUCUCUGUGUCUCUCUGUCACCCUCAGUCCCUUUUCUCACCUCUUCUCACAGACGCUGUCUCUCUGUGUCUCUCUGUCACCCUCAGUCCCUUUUCUCACCUCUUCUCACAGACGCUGUCUCUCUGUGUCUCUAUCACCCUCAGUCCCUUUUCUCACCUCUUCUCACAGACGCUGUCUCUCUGUGUCUCUGUCACCCUCAGUCCCUUUUCUCACCUCUUCUCACAGACGCUGUCUCUCUGUGUCUCUCUGUCACCCUCAGUCCCUUUUCUCACCUCUUCUCACAGACGCUGUCUCUCUGUGUCUCUCUGUCACCCUCAGUCCCUUUUCUCACCUCUUCUCACAGACGCGGGGCUGCGGGUUUUGGCAGAGAGCUACACACAGAGAGGCCUCCAUAUUCAGCUAUACAGUGAGCAUAAGUACAAUGGCACGUAAGCAAAUGAAUAACAUAAUCAAUGGUGGGGGUCUUUAGAAGAUCCCCAAAAUCAACUUUAACCCUUCACAUGCCUCCCUCUCUCACACACACACAUUAGACCCAAUGUAAAUAAAUUGUAAUAACUGGUUUCUUUUACGCUCCAUUUUAUUUGAGGAAAACAUCUGCAAUAAAGUACAUUGACAGUUAAAA